UGCAAGUCGAACGGAAAGGCCCUGCUUGCAGGGUACUCGAGUGGCGAACGGGUGAGUAACACGUGGGUGAUCUGCCCUGCACUUCGGGAUAAGCCUGGGAAACUGGGUCUAAUACCGGAUAGGACCAUCGUUUAGUGUCGGUGGUGGAAAGUUUUUUCGGUGUGGGAUGAGCUCGCGGCCUAUCAGCUUGUUGGUGGGGUAAUGGCCUACCAAGGCGUCGACGGGUAGCCGGCCUGAGAGGGUGACCGGCCACACUGGGACUGAGACACGGCCCAGACUCCUACGGGAGGCAGCAGUGGGGAAUAUUGCACAAUGGGCGCAAGCCUGAUGCAGCGACGCCGCGUGGGGGAUGACGGCCUUCGGGUUGUAAACUCCUUUCAACCAUGACGAAGCUUUCGGGUGACGGUAGUGGUAGAAGAAGCACCGGCUAACUAC
rnacentral:rRNA from 1 species